AGUAACUGCGAGUGAAGCGGCAAAAGCUCAAAUUUGAAAUCUGGCGUCUUUGGCGUCCGAGUUGUAAUUUGGAGAGGCAUCUUCGGAGAUGGCGCUGUCCUAAGUUCCUUGGAACAGGACAUCACAGAGGGUGAGAAUCCCGUGCCUGGAUGGCUGUCCAUCUCCAUGUGAAGAGUCUUCGACGAGUCGAGUUGUUUGGGAAUGCAGCUCAAAAUGGGUGGUAAAUUUCAUCUAAAGCUAAAUAUUGGCGAGAGACCGAUAGCGCACAAGUAGAGUGAUCGAAAGAUGAAAAGCACUUUGAAAAGAGAGUUAAAAAGUACGUGAAAUUGUUGAAAGGGAAGCGCUUGAGACCAGACUCAAUCUUUGGUGAUCAGCUGUGCUUCUGCGCAGUGCACUUGCUAUUGAUUGGGCCAGCAUCGGUUCCGACGGUGGGAUAAAAGGCGGAGGAAUGUAGCUUCCUUCGGGGAGUGUUAUAGCCUCCGUCACAAUGCCAUCAGUUGGGACCGAGGACCGCGCUUCGGCUAGGAUGCUGGCGUAAUGGUCUUAAGCGACCCGUCUUGAAACACGGACCAAGGAGUCUAACAUCUAUGCGAGUGUUCGGGUGGAAAACCCUUGCGCGUAAUGAAAGUGAACGGAGGUGGGAACCCGCAAGGGUGCACCAUCGACCGAUCCUGAUGUCUUCGGAAGGAUUUGAGUAAGAGCAUAGCUGUUGGGACCCGAAAGAUGGUGAACUAUGCCUGAAUAGGGUGAAGCCAGAGGAAACUCUGGUGGAGGCUCGCAGCGGUUCUGACGUGCAAAUCGAUCGUCAAAUUUGGGUAUAGG
rnacentral:rRNA from 1 species